rnacentral:rRNA from 1 species
CCUACGGGCGGCAGCAGUGGGGAAUAUUGGACAAUGGGGGGAACCCUGAUCCAGCCAUGCCGCGUGUGUGAAGAAGGCCCUCGGGUUGUAAAGCACUUUCAGUGAGGAAGAACGCCUGGUGGUUAAUACCCAUCAGGAAAGACAUCACUCACAGAAGAAGCACCGGCUAACUCCGUGCCAGCAGCCGCGGUAAUACGGAGGGUGCGAGCGUUAAUCGGAAUUUCUGGGCGUAAAGCGCGCGUAGGUGGCUUGAUAAGCCGGUUGUGAAAGCCCCGGGCUCAACCUGGGAACGGCAUCCGGAACUGUCAAGCUAGAGUGCAGGAGAGGAAGGUAGAAUUCCCGGUGUAGCGGUGAAAUGCGUAGAGAUCGGGAGGAAUACCAGUGGCGAAGGCGGCCUUCUGGACUGACACUGACACUGAGGUGCGAAAGCGUGGGUAGCAAACAGGAUUAGAUACCCGGGUAGUC